AAGUCGUAACAAGGUUUCCGUAGGUGAACCUGCGGAAGGAUCAUUACCAAUACGCAGUGAGCAAUCGCUGUCUGCCUGUUUGGUGGCCCUCGGGCUGCUAAUCAGUCAAACCCUUUGUGAACCAAAAAAAACCUUUCGCUUCUGCAGCAGGGCCUCACGGCCUGUCAGCCUGCGGUUAGCAUCAACCUUUAAACCUGUUGUCAAAAACAUUGUCUGAUAACCGAAUUUUCGAAUGAAAAUUAAAACUUUCAACAACGGAUCUCUUGGUUCCC
rnacentral:misc_RNA from 1 species